UACGUAGGGGGCGAGCGUUGUCCGGAAUUAUUGGGCGUAAAGAGCGUGUAGGCGGUUCGGUAAGUCUGCCGUGAAAUCCUGGGGCUCAACCCUCGGAUGCCGGUGGAUACUGUCGGGCUUGAGUACGGAAGAGGCGAGUGGAAUUCCUGGUGUAGCGGUGAAAUGCGCAGAUAUCAGGAGGAACACCGAUUGCGAAGGCAGCUCGCUGGGACGUUACUGACGCUGAGACGCGAAAGCGUGGGGAGCAAACAGG
rnacentral:rRNA from 1 species